GUGCCAGCAGCCGCGGUAAUACGUAGGGUGCGAGCGUUGUCCGGAAUUACUGGGCGUAAAGAGCUCGUAGGUGGUUUGUCGCGUCGUCUGUGAAAUUCCGGGGCUUAACUCCGGGCGUGCAGGCGAUACGGGCAUAACUUGAGUGCUGUAGGGGAGACUGGAAUUCCUGGUGUAGCGGUGAAAUGCGCAGAUAUCAGGAGGAACACCAAUGGCGAAGGCAGGUCUCUGGGCAGUAACUGACGCUGAGGAGCGAAAGCAUGGGUAGCGAACAGGAUUAGAUACCCUGGUAGUCCAUGCCGUAAACGGUGGGCGCUAGGUGUGGGGGUCUUCCACGACUUCUGUGCCGUAGCUAACGCAUUAAGCGCCCCGCCUGGGGAGUACGGCCGCAAGGCUAAAACUCAAAGGAAUUGACGGGGGCCCGCACAAGCGGCGGAGCAUGUGGAUUAAUUCGAUGCAACGCGAAGAACCUUACCUGGGCUUGACAUAUGCCGGAUCGGCGCAGAGAUGCGUUUUCCCUUGUGGUCGGUAUACAGGUGGUGCAUGGUUGUCGUCAGCUCGUGUCGUGAGAUGUUGGGUUAAGUCCCGCAACGAGCGCAACCCUUGUCUUGUGUUGCCAGCACGUUAUGGUGGGGACUCGCGAGAGACUGCCGGGGUUAACUCGGAGGAAGGUGGGGAUGACGUCAAAUCAUCAUGCCCCUUAUGUCCAGGGCUUCACACAUGCUACAAUGGUCGGUACAGUGGGUUGCUACACCGUGAGGUGGUGCUAAUCCCUUAAAGCCGGUCUCAGUUCGGAUUGGAGUCUGCAACUCGACUCCAUGAAGUCGGAGUCGCUAGUAAUCGCAGAUCAGCAACGCUGCGGUGAAUACGUUCCCGGGCCUUGUANNNNCCGCCCGU
rnacentral:rRNA from 1 species